rfam:Oryza barthii chromosome 5, whole genome shotgun sequence.
AAAAAGGCAAAUCCUGGGUUUUCGUGUCCAACUUUGACAGUCCGUCUUAUAUGAAAUUUUUUUAUAAUUUAUAUUUUCAUUGUUAUUACAUGAUAAAAUAUGAUUAAUAUUUUAUGUGUGACUUGUCUUUUUAAUUUUUUUCAUAAUUUUUUCAAAUAAGACGGACGGUCAAAUGUUUAGCACGGAAACCAGGGUUUGUCUUUUU